UGCUUUUUGGUCUGUUCUCCUGUUAUAUGAUUCUUGAACUUGUGGUACACUCCCUGUAUUCUGCUGUCAUCUAUCCGAUUGAAGUGCAGUGUAUACUAUAUAAGAAUUAAGAUCUGCUUUCAAAUAACAAUAAUCAGAUCAUCAAGUUAGAAGUAUAAGAAUUCACAGUUUUCCUGUAAAAGAAAUAUUUUUAAUUUUUUAAAAUAAUAAUAAUAAUAAAUAAAAAAAUAAAAAUAAAAUAAAAUAAAUAAUGAGAGAAAUUCGAAGCUUCUAGAGCCCCAUGGUAAGAACUCUAUUGACCAAAUAGACCGGCUCGGCCCGAAUGGUCCAACCGACACGAUAAACGAGCAGACCGCUGGAACCCUACUCCCAUUUUGUUUCCCAACCGCCCACCGCCCACCGCUCUCGAUCCCGUCUCCAAUGCCUUUCUUGAUUGAAUCCAAGUUCUUUUCGCGAAAUCUCUGUGUUUUUCUUUUGCAUCCAUGAGUGACACCGACUGAUCUCAAGUUUCGUGUGAUCUUUCGAGGGUUUCUUCAUUUGUUGUGUUUUUCUUUUUCUUUCGUUCUAUAAGAUCCGUUCGUAGGGUUCUUCAUUUUGUUUGUCUCACCGUAGGUUGAAGUGGAGAUUUCGCUGACGUGUAAUCUCCUCGAGAUUCAUCUUUUAUCAUCGAUAAUCUCCGCAGCUUUUAUCGAUUUCAUGCGUUUCAUUGUCUUUCUUUAUGCUUGUUCUUGGGACGUUCUUUUUCGGUUUCGGCUGGGAGAUAGCUGGCAUUUUUUUUCAUCCAUUUUGAUGCGUUUCGUGUUCUUACCACCUCGUUUGUGCUUUCUUUUCUAGGUUUGGAAAAUUGGUAUCGUGGGUUUCUUGUCUUCGAGGACUUGUGUAUCGAGCUCCCUCUUCUGAAGUGGAACUUUGAGGAUGCAUUUUGGCAGAACAGAACCAUAUUUCAAGCUUGCGGCCGCUGGGUUGUUGUAUUUCUAAUUUGUUUUUCUUUUGCAUCAAUUUAGCUUUUUUUAUAAAUUAUGUUUUUUCUCUAAUAGAAAAUGUAGGAUUUUGUUGCUUCUCUAAAUUCUGGAAUCAUUCAGCAUCUAAAAUCUAGGUACAUUAUUUAAUAAAUGUGUUUGGAGUCAAUAUUAUUUUUUCCAUAGGUGAAUAAUAGAUCUAUUGAAAAACAUUUUGCAAGUUACUCUAGUUGUGUGCAGAGUACUGAUAUACUCUAGAACUAUUAGCUUACAAUCACACUGCCCUAAAAAUUUUAUGAUCACUUUUAUUGGCAACUCCAUUCUUUCAAGUUCCUUAGGGUAAUUCCUGAUGUGCCUUAUUAUAAAUUUACGAUCUAGUCCUUUUUUUUUUCUUGUCUUAAUGAGAUUGCUUAGAAAAUUUUUAUAUGUCAGCUUAUGAUGAUAUGUUACAUAAAGUUGGAAUUUCCAUAUGAGGUUGAUAAAACUGUAUUUUGAUGUAAAGCUUAUUAACUGUAUUUUUUGUAACAUGAGAAAAUAAUUGUCUUCACUAGGCAAUACUAAAUUAACUUAAGCUACAACAUAUAUUUUUCUUGUUAACGGAACUUCUAUUUUCUUUUAAUCACUUCUUGUUUACUAAGGAGUGGUUUUAGUUUUAGUCUAUUAUCUGAACAAGUCAUUAUUGCUGUUGUAUGCUUAAAUUUAUUAGUCAUGCUAGCCUGAUGAUUAUUAUAAGAACGGAGAUCUGAAAGGUGAUCUUUGUUGAAGUCUAAGUCUAAAACAGCUUGGGCUCCAAAGACAACUAUAUGCAGAUUUCUUUUAGCAUAUGAAGGCUUGCAUGUUCAAGUGUACUUUUUUUAGCAUAGUUCUUUUUCAUGACAAGGUUAUAUUGUAAAAUGAAGUUGUGCUAAUUUGUUAUCUUUUUUCUUUUGUUAACGAAAAUUGACCUGUUAGAAUAACAUGCAAGCAAUACAGAGGUUUGCUGGUGCAUGCUUUGCUGGUUGAAAUUUUAUCUUUUUCAUAAAUAGCUUGGUUUUGAAGUAUGCACUGUGAUCAUAGACUUGCACAUCGUGAAUUUUUUUUUAAUUUUAAGAGACUCUAUUGCUUGUAAUUUCUUGAUAUAGUAUAGAGCUUCAGGUAAACUGAAAUUCUUGUUUUAGUUCUGUGGAAGAAUAAUUAUGUUAUGUAUAUUUUUGUUCUUGAUUAAUAUUAGCAUUGUCAAUUUAUCUUAAUUUUGAUGAAAUCAUGGAUUUUAAUGUUUUUCUAGAGCAUGAUUGUAUGGCGCUUCUUGGGAGCUUGAGAGCGACGAUGUAUUACUUGCUCUCCUUUGUCUAUUCCCCUCACAUCUUCACUUAUAAAUUUUAUUCUCUCUAACGCUUUAUAAUUAUGUAGGAUUUGCAUUCAAAUUGAGAAAUUGGAACAUAUACAUACGUGUCAUGGAAAGAGAGGCUUAUGAUCAGGUUAAGAAGCCUAUAAGAUUCGAAUCAAGUUAUCUAUAAAAAUGUUAUGAUCCCUAGUCUUCAUAGAAAAUAAUUUGCUUAUCAUGGAAUGAAUUACAAAUUGCAUUGAUCUGAUAUGAUUUUUAACUUUGAUGUCAUAUAUGUGUCGAGGUGUCUCUAUUUGACCACCAAAAAGUCAAAAAAGAAAAAUCACCUUUUUGUUAAAAUCUAAAUAUAUGUGAGCUUUCUUAUCUUUGGACUAAGAUUAUUCUGUCGAGAUGAUAGUUGAAGUUAUUCUGAGUUUUUCUUGAUCUAUCUAUGAUAUGCUCGUACUUAUUAAAUAUGAACUAUGCUUAUAGGAGAUUUUAUUUUUAUUAUGGUGACAUCCCUCUUGUAAGUGAAAAUUACAUCUUAAAGUUGAUUGUAGAGAAUGCCAUUUUUUACUUGCAAGCAUGUCAUCAAAUGUGACUCUGAAUAAUGUGGUCAUCCUCCAUCUUCGUAUUAGUGAUCCCUGGUCUUGCUCGACAUGGUUAUGUUUAGCUUAUUCUUUCAUAGUGAAUAGACCUUGUUGGCUAAUUGGGAACUUAAGGCUCCCAAAGAUAGUGUGUCGCUAAGCUACUAUCUUUCCAUGGCUCGAUGUUGGUAAGGAGAUUUCACCUUUGUUGAAGCACUUCUUCGAGGUUGGUAACGAUAUGAGACUAGCAAUCCAGAGUGAUACAAGAGGAGUGGGUAGAUGUUAACAUGACUUGUUGAUUUUGUCCACCUCAUCCAACACCAAUAUUAACAGAAAUAUUCAUAUUUUUAGUGUAGCUUACAUUAUUAAGCAACUGCUAGGGUUGUCGUCACUAAGCUUGGCCCAGAGUGGCCAGUCUCCCUCAUGAUAAGGUGGCGGCGGUGGCAAAGAAGCAACACCUGCUUCAUCGUUCAGCUGCUGCUCCAUCUGCUGCAUGAGGUAUGUGGUUGAUUGCUCGCCACCCUUGUCAUGUGUUUCAACUCUUUCCUCAUCACCACCAUCUUCAUUCAUAUUUGCUUCCUCUUUCUUCUUCUUCUUCUUUUUCUUCUUCUUUCCUUCGACAGGACGCUUUGUGUCGUUGCAUCCUUCUCCUCUAUCAAUAUCGCCCUCUUGGGACUCGACAUCUUCCUGGAUGUUUUCCUGGUUUUCAUCCUUGGUAGCCAACAACUCUGCAACUUUUCGAACCUUGCGAAGCUUUUUGAUCAGAAUCGCAGGAUCUACGUUCCCAGUGACGAUCACCCUCUCCUCUUUUACAUCGAGAUCGAUAGCGUGGACCCCUAAGAAUUUCCCAACUCAACAUCGAAGUGUACGUAUAUGCAAAGUGAAGGAUCAAACGAUGCACAAGUAGAAUGACAUACCAUCAAUCUUAAGAAGCACCUUCCUUAUUUUCUUUUGGCACCCGACACAGCAUGUGUGCACUUUUAGAACACAUGUCUGCUUUUCCUCGACAGGAAGCUUUGUAUAACUGCAUCCUUCUCCUCCACCACUGCCACCGGCAUGGGACUUGACAUCUUCCUUCUGCGGUUGGGUGUGCUCUUGGUUUUCAUCCUUCGUAGCCACUAACUCUGCAACUUUUCCAAUCUUACGAAGCUUUUUGAUUAGAAUGGCAGGAUCUACGUUCCCAGUUACGGUUACCUUCUCCUCUUUUGUAUCGAGAUCGAUAGCGUAGACCCCUGAGAAUUCCCCGACUUAACAUCAAAGUGUACGAGUAUACCAAGAGAAGGAUCAAGCAAUCCUCAAGUAGAAUGGCAUACCAUCGAUCUUAAGAAGCACCUUCCUUAUUUCCUUUCGACACUCGACGCAGCAUGUAUGCACUUUUAGAACACAUGUCUGCCUUUCCUCGACCGGAAGCUUCGUGCCACUACAUCCUUCUCCUCCGCCACUACUACCCUCUUGGGACUUGACAUCUUUUUUCUGCGCUUGGGUGUUCUCCUGGUUCCCAUCCUUCGUAGCCAACAAUUCUGCAGUUUUUUCAAUCUUGUGAAGCUUCUUGAUUAAGAUGGCAGGAUCUACAUUCCCAGUGACAGUCACCUUCUUCUCUUUUGCAUCGACAUCGAUAGCAUAGACCCCUGAGAAUUUUCCCAACUUAAACAUCAAAGUAUAUAUAUAUAUAUAUAUACCAAGUGAAGGAUCAAGCAAUGCACAAGUAGAAUGAUAUACCAUCAAUCUUAUGAAGCAGCUUUUGUAUUUUCUUUUGGCUCUCGACACAGCAUGUGUGCAAUUUUAGAACAUAUGUCUGCAUGUGGAGAAAGAGAAACCCAAGUAAUCAUAUGCUCAAACAAAAAGAAGGGAUGAAUUUACCUUUGUUGGAAGGAUCAUGUCGUCUUCUUUAUCGCUCUUCUUUUCCAGUUGGUCACAAUUUUUCGAGCAGAGAAAACAACACUUCAUAGAUCUGAGAGAUCAAAGACAAACAACAGAGAGAGGAUGAACAACAUGUAAAGCCAUUGUGAGAUGUCUCGGCUAAGCAAAAACCCAAGAAUUCAUCUUUUAAUCCUUUUGCACUUGCUCAAUAUCUCAUUAUAAUUGUUUAACUAUGUACCAUAUACCAGAUGAUUAUGCACUCUUCUAAUAAAUGGAAGAGACUUUACACAAUAUGAAUUCUUUCUUCUCUAAAUGAAUGAUGAAGAAAAUUAUAUAUUAUUCUGUAUCCUUAACUUGCUGCUCCUGACAACAUAUGGACCGACUGUUCAUCCAUCUUGUCGGAUGUGUCUGUCUACUCUUGAUAAGGAAAACAAAUGCAUUUUGCCUCACUUUAUUUACCAUAUUCAUUUCUUAGCAUAAAAGCAUUUUAUCGUGUCCAAUGUCCAACAUUCAUAUACAUAUAUGUUUUGCCAUGGGCAUGAAGCAUGUUACAUAAUAUCACAUACAUAUAGUAAAAAUCAUGUUAAACACACAUGCCUAAUGAUAUUAAAUUGGGUUUCAAAUAAUUGAUUGACUUGAACCUACCUAAAUUGAAUUGGCUUGGAUAAAAGUUAAAUCUGCAGUAGACCUUAGAUCAAAGCUAGGUUAGGUCCAAAUCAGAUCGGUGCUAUUGGGGUCCACAUUCAAGAACCUAAUCCAACAAUCAUCCCUUCUUUUCUUUUCUAAAUAUCAUAUUGUAAAUAAUUAUUAUGUCAUAUAACUAGUUAAUUAUUAUAUGAUGACAUGAACAUCAUUGAAUCUGGUUUACUAACUAUUAGAUCAUGAUAUAAAAUUUUAUAAGAACUCAUUAGAAUAAAAAUAGUUUCUACAAUGUAAAAACUUAUUAUUUAAAAUAUAAAAUUAGUGAAUAUUAUUUUUUUAUGAAAUAUUAAGAAAAUCAAACGAUGAUUUCAAUCCUUAAACUAAAGAUAAUUGUGGGAAACCUACAUUCCCAUAAAAGGCGAUGAUUCUCACAUAUGCAGUCUUUAAAGUCGAAUUCUUUUGAGGCCGAUCAAAAGUGGAAAAGCAAAACGUGUUUGCCCGAAUAUAUAGAGAGGGGAUAAGAGAAAAUCUCAAUUGAUAUGGUAGUAUUUAUUCAAUAUUAACUUAUAUUUUUAAUUAAAUAUUAGGUUAGUUAUUCAUAUUUAAAAGUAAAAAAUAAAGAUAUGUGUUUAAUAAUUCGAAAAGAUUAGGAAGUAAUGAGGUGUAUAUCAGUUAUGGUUUUCUAAAUUAAGAAACAUAAAAGACUAUCUCAUUUUAAGAUUUAGUGCUAAGUUCAAUUUACCUAAGAGAUGUUAUGUUAUAUGAAUUUUUUUUUACAAGAUUAUAAUAUCUUUCUAGAGUUAAAUAAAUAAACAUCACUUUAUUAAUAUGCAUAUCUUAUAAAUAUUUAUUAUAAUUUAUUUAUUUAUCAAAUUAAAAGUCAAAAGUAGUCAUAAGUUUUAUUGAGAAAUACAGUGAUGCUAACUCGAAAAUAAAUCUAAUUGGCUCUAUCUAGUAGUAGAGAAAUGUUUACUCUCCAGAAUCUGAUUUAUUACUAUGGGAGACUACUUUGAAAAAUAAAAAAUAAAUUUUUUUAAUAACGAUAAGUAGAAACUCCUAUAAUUCAACUAUAAAAUGUAUAUAAAAGUCAAUCAUCCUAUAUCAAAUACUCGAAAGAAUACUCUCCCAAUAAUGGAUAGAAAGAAUUUAUACUAUUGGAUGCGUUUGUGUUCUCCUAACGAAGACAAACUUAUAUUGUACUCAUAACAGGGGGAUGGAAUGGUAUCCCUCACUCGUCAAAAUAGAAAUAUGUUUCUCUCAAUAAUAAAUGGAGAAAUCGUCCAACUACCUCAUCUGGUGGCCCAUUAGUCCCCGAAAGAAAUCGCCCAACCUACCCUUGGUAGGAAAUAACAUCAUCUUAUAUUGGUCAUGUCUAUAUCAGGAUUAAAUAAUAUAUUAAAAUAUUUUUUUAAAUAUUAUUAAUAUCAAAUAAUAUCAAUUAGCCUUCAAUUGAGUUAAACCUUAGCUCAAUCUAUCCAAUUAAACUCGAUUUAACAAAAAUCUAUUUGAAUCGUUCUUUAAUUCUUAUUUAAUCAAUCUAAAACCACCCUAGAGUGAUAUAAUUUAAAUCAAAUUAGUUUAACUUAGGUUAAAUAUACUUGAAUAAGUCAAACUAAUUCAGAAUCAACCUAAAUCAAUUUAAAUUGAUCAAAUCUGAUUUGAUUCAAUCCAUAUUUGGGGUCAAAUCAAAUAAAAUAAGGGUAAUGGGCUAGACUGCAUAAUACUAAGCUAGGUUGGGUUAGCCCAUGUAUUGAUCAUAUAUACGACUAUGCAUGCACCAUAUCAGGUUGGGUUAGCCCAUAGUUUAUGGACUGCACAUGAUUAUCCAUGUUGGGCAGUCCAGGUUAAGUUAGCAUGUAGGCUAGGGCUUGACCUAUAGGUGAGACCUAAUCUAUUUCAACCCAAAUCCUAACCAAUUCUCUCAAUUUUGAAUUACGAUAUUAUAAAAUUAUAAUCAAACAUCUAUUCAUUAGUAAUAAGUCAUUAAAACAUAAUAAAUAAUAAAAAAUUAAAAAGAUAAACUAUAUAAAAAGAAAAUAGCAUUCUUAAUCAAGUAUUAUAUAUAUCUAACCAAAAUCAAAUAUCAAGAUAAAAAUUUUAGAAUUGCAUAUAACAUGAAUAAUUUCAACUUGUUUUAAUCACAAAAUAAGUUCUAAAGCUUUAAUAAGAUAAAAUAAGAUUUUAGAAACUUCAUAUAAUAUAUUUUAAUUUAAUAAUAAAAAUUUGAUAUUUAAAGUAAUAAAAAAUAUUUUAGAAUUAUAAACAUAUUUUAAUCCAAAAAUAAAUUAAGACAUUUAAAAGAAUUUUGAAGAUAAAUUUUACUUUUCACAAAAAGGAGGGGAACUUACCUCUCCUUAGUAUGAUACAAUUCCUCGUUUCUCUCAAUAUUAUGCUUGCUUUGGUGAGGAACGAAAGAGAGUAAUCCUCCCAUUUUAAUAGGAGGAGGUGAGCCUUUCGUAUAAGGAAUUUUUUUAUAUUUUAUAUUUUAUUUAAUAUUUAUUUUUGUUUAAUUUUCUAACAAAAUUGAUAUCACCCUACUUGGAAUGUUAAAUAGUUAUUUCUUAAAUUUCAUUAGCAAAAAAAAAAAUAAAAAAAAUCAUUCCUAAGUUAUGGAUUUGAUUAUAUUUCUUUCCUUCUAAAGGAAAUUUGACCUCCAAAUUUAACUUAUAUCAAGAAUGUAUGAAUACUGCUCUCUCACAUCCUUUUCUCUUUCUCAAGUUAUCUCUGAAUGAUACCGCCGAUUAAUAUUUACUAAAGAUAUAGUUUUAUUCCUUAGAAUAUGCUUUUUCCUUUUUAAGAUCUGGAUUGGUUGCUCUACAAAAGUGACAUCGUCUUUUAGUUAUAGAGGUUGAUAAGAUAUGACAUGAGAUGGAUCCUUAAUAUAUCUCCGAAGCAUGAAGAUGUGGAAUACAUUAGAGAUGCUAACCAAAGUUAGGGCCACUACAAAUCUAUAUUUCAUAGGUCUAACCUUUUGUAAUAUCUUAAAUGGGCCAAUAAAUCUAGGAGCUAACUUCCCCAUUUUGUCAAAUCUUAUAACUCUCUUGGUUGACGACACCUUUAAGAAGAUGUAAUCACUAACUUUCAACUCCAAAUCUCCACCUUCGAUCUGCAUAAUUUUUUCAGUGACUUUGAACUAUUAAUAAUCUUUGAUAUAUAGUUUAAAUAUUUUCAACAUCUCUUUGAAUCAAUUGAGGGCUAAAAUGCUCCCAUUAGCACACAUGUGAUAUGCAUUUUUUCCCAUAAAGAGCUUCAAAUGAGGCCAUCUAUAUACUAGAGUGACAACCAUUAUUACGAGGAAACUCAAUUAGGUGCAAGUACAUAUCUCAACUUUCACUACCUGCUCUCACUUCUAUUUAGGAAUUGGAAUCCUUUUUAAUUUUCUCGUAGGUACUUGAUAUUCUAUCUUCAACUAUUAGCAGCUCAGACAUUUAGAGACAAACUCUACUAUAUUUGUCACAUUUCGGAUUUAUAAAAGAAUAAUAAAUUAAUAUUUUAUUAUCCAUAAUUUACAUAAUAAACUCUUUAUUUUUUUUCAUCCUUAAAUUCAAAUCUUUGUCUUUACAAUAGUAAAUAUUCUAUUAACUAGAAAAAAUAUCAUAUCUUCUUGGUAGGGUCACAAGUCUCUUCCACCCAAGCUUCAAAUCUAUUAUAAAGUACUAGAUUACUAUGAAAAUAAAUAUAAGAUAAAAACAUAUCAACAACCACAUAUGCUAGUAGGAACCUUGAAAAAAUCAUAAAAAUAAUCCUCGAUAUUCAUGAAAUAUAAAUAAAUAUCAAUAAUUUAAUAAGAAAUGAUAAUACAUUGAUUCAUCAUAAAACUUAUACAUCAAAUAAAUGAUGAUAAUUUCUUACAUAAUAAACAAAAUGAUUCAUCAACCACAUACAAUACAUACAUAAUAACAAAGGCGCACAUCACCCGAUGGUGUACUCUCCCAACAGUAGAUGAAGCGGCAUAUUUCACGAGAUGGAUUCCUCCAAAUAGUAGAUGGAGAUAAUCCAUAUCGCACUCCCAAUAACGGAUGAAGUCGUAUACCUCACCCAUGCAAGUGGGGACACGUUCCUCCCAACAACGGAUGAAGGAACCGUCUAACCAUCACAUUUGAUGACCUGCUAAUCUCCGAAGGGAAUCGCCAUGCUUGCUUUCGGUAGGGAUACAUAAAUAUCCAUGAUCAGUCAUUUACACUGAUUCAUUCACUCACGCAAGCAUCAAGAAAUCAAUAUGAUUAAAUAUUAUGAGAGACCAUACUUGAUGUAAAUCGACUAGACUAUUUCAUUGGUGGCUCCGCAUUGUGAUAGGCAUGUAGCUCCUUUCAUAGGUUUUACUUCCAAUGUUUAUGAUUUAAUCUGCGUUUUGAGUGACGCAGGAUGCUUCGAUCAGGAUGAGACAAUUAAAGUAGAAAAAUCAUGUUGGGCCGGAGGAACAUGUUAGAAGAUUGGACGUCGGGCCGAUGGAUCGGUCGAUGUAUCGACAGAAGGCUUCAAGCCGUGGAUUCGGGCAUCGGGCCAAGAAGAGCAAACAUUGUGCCAAGAAUAUCAGAGUUGUGGAGUCAACUGGCUUAUUAGGUAAUAGGCCGCAGGAGAGGAUGAUGCGCCGAAGAAUCGGACGAAGCGUCAAGGGACCAAUGACAUGCCAGACAACUUGAUUAGAUGCUUAGGAUUAAUUGUCUAGAUCAAAGUGUGUUUUACAUGUGCAGGAUUAACUAUGAUAGCAUGAAGACAUAAAGCAAAUUUAUCGGAGUCAAGUUCGAUCGGUGUUCGAGAGUCCGCCGAAAGUCCGAAGAAUCAUCGGAAGUGCUGCCGAAACCCAACCGAGAAAGAAUCGGGGACUUGCCGAAGUUUUCAGAAGUCUACUAGAAAGAUUGUUAAAGGUUCGUGGAGAUCACCAAGAAGGUUCGGAUACUUGCCAAAGACUCAUUGAACUCACCACAAGACCGGGAGCCUGUUGGGAGUUCGCCGGAAGAAAUCCAAGGGUGUAUCAGAAGUCCGCUAGAAAGCUGGCUGGAAGAAAACUCGACGUUGCCGGUUAAAAUUUGCUUAGGGCUAUGUCUUAAUUUUGUAGUUUGCAUAUAAUUUGAGUUAAGAUUAAGGGUUAAUCCUAUAACCCAGUAAGGGGUCAAUUGGGCCCGAGUUUGGACUGGUUUGGGCCAAGUUUGGAGCCCAAUCAAUGAGCUGGAACAAUCCAAGCGGUGGCACCGCCGGACUAGGUAGUGGCACUGCCCAGAACUCAAGAGAUCCAGUGGUGGCACCGCUAGUACACUACCGGACUAGGCGGUGGCACCACCCAGAACCCCGAAGAUCUAGCGGUGGCAUCGCCAGUACAUUGCUGGACUGGGCGGUGGCACCGCCCAGAACCUGAGAGGAUCGGUGGUGGCACCGCUAGUACACUGUCAAUGUUAGACACUGACAGGCGGUGGCACCGCCAGCACCGAGAAACCCAAAAGCAAUUCAAAUUUGGAGCUUAAAUUUGAAUCCUCUUGGGGCCUAUAAAUACCUCUCAAUUCUUAGCAGAGAUAACACCUUUUUGACAAGUUAGAAGGUGAGAAAAAGCUGUCUUGUUUUCAAUAGCUUAAGUGUUCACCUCUCUCUUUCUUUUUGAAAAAUCUGUAAGAGUAUGAACCACUUGUAAGAAGGUUGUAAGAGGGGUAUUUGGUCCUUCCCCUUCAAAGUGAUUUGCUAGUGGAAGUUGAGAGCCUCAUCGAAGAAGGCUUCGAAAGUGGAUGUAGGUCAUUUGAUCGAACCUCUAUACAUCGUGGUGUUCCUUGAAUGUGUGAGUGUUUAAUUUUCUGAACCAUUUCUUUACUUAGCUGCAAAUCGUUCAGUUUUUAUCUCCCUACUCUUGACUACAUUUACUCAAGCUAUUUUAGCUAAGUCAUCCUUCGUCAAAUCGAAAUCUCUACACAUUUACGAAAUCGAUUUCAAGCUUACGAGUUUUAAUCCGCUGCACUAAUUCACCCCCCCCUAGUGCCGCUCCGCUCCUAACAAGAUGAAUAUUAAAUCUUGAUUGUGAGCUAUCUUUAAUAGUAGCAUUUUUAUUGGAUGACUUUUGGGAACACAAAAUCAAUUAUGGAAUCUAAUAAAAUAAUCAUCUUCAACUUUGAAGGAAUUUUGGUCUAGAUCUCUGAGCUAUCUUAGGUAGUAACUUCCUUUUAACUUUUUCUAAUCCUUUCUAAAAAAAUUGAUUGUGUCAUCAAGCAUGAUUGAAAAACUUUAUCUAUCUCAAAUAAAAGUUUGUGUUUCAUAUCUACCAAUUUUGUCAUCAUAGAAUUUUUUUUAAUAUUCAUAUAGGCUAUAAAACUUGAAAUAUUUCUGCUCAAUGCAUUAGUAACUACAUUAGCCUUCCCAUGAUGAUAAUUGAUAUUAAAAUUAUAAUCCUAUAGAAAGUUCAACCAUCUUCUUUGUCUCAUAUUUAAAUCCUUCUUAGUGAAGAUGUACUUGAAAUUUUGUGAUAUACGAAGAUUUCAAAAGUCUAUUCAUAGAGAUAAUGUCUUUUAAUUUUCAAUGUAAAAAUAAUAAUGGCUAGCUCUAAGUCAUAAAUAGAAUAGUUUUUCUCAUGAGACUUUAAUUGUCUAUAUGCAUAAGUAAUUAUCCUCUCAUUUUAUAUUAGAACACAACCAAGUCUUUGAAGUGAGGCAUCACUGUAUACUAUAAAACCUCCUUCUUUAGAAGGAAUCACUAGGAUAUGAGCAUUGGUUAAUUUCUCUUUUAAUUCCUGAAAAUUUCAUUUACACUUAUUAUCCCAAAUGUGUUAGAAUCAAGAGCGACACUAAGAAGGGGGGUUGAUUUAGUGCAGUGGAAAAAUUAUGUCGAUUUAAACAUAUUCAUACGAUAAAAUUCAAUUCCGAUAAAAAUCGUUUCGUUUUUCUUGAAUGAGUAGAGAAGAGGGGAUUGGACAAUUUGUAAUGUAGUAAAGUUGAAUGCAGUAAAGAGAUUAAGAAGUAAGGAAUGAAUAUACCGAAAUUUAUACUAGUUCGAUCAUUGUGACCUACAUCCACUUCCGAUUCCUCCUCCAUCGAGGCCACCGCCAUCUACUAAUAGUCUUUCUUUAAUAGGCAAAGACUAACCACCUCUUUACAGCACUUUCUUCUUUUCAUGGAUUUAAGAGAUAAUCCUUACAAGCCACACACAUCUUCUUGGAUGAUUACAAAGCUAAAGAGAGAGAGGAGGAGGACUCUUCUCACUUUUAACACCCCAACACUUAAAGUUUGUUUUCACACUUUGAUCGCAUUUUGUCACCUUUUCAUGCAGAAAAGAGUGAGGUAUUUAUAGGCCCCAAUAACUUCAAAAUUGAAGCAAAAAAUUAUCUCAUCCCCGAUUUUCGGAGUACUGGCGGUGGUAGACGAUACCAUUGUUUGACACUCUAAGCCCAGUCUGGCGAUACCACCGCUUGAUAGAGUCUCCGAUACUAAGCUCUGGCGGUACCACCACCUGGCAGGUGAUAACUGCCGACGGUACCACCUCCCAAUCUAAGUGGUACCAUCACCCAAACCACCGACAGACCAUUCCUUGGGCGGUUCCACCGCCCCAGUCUAGCGAUGCCACCACCAAACAAGGUCCAACAACCUGGUUGGACCUUGAAUUCGACCUAACCCAAUCCAAUUACGGGCCCAAUUAGUCCCUAACCGAGUUAGUGGGAUUACCUCCCAAACUUAACCCUAAUUACGUGCUAACUAUGAUUCUUAAAGCAUACACUAAGCAAAUCAAGUCCGGUUAAUCUAGGUUUCUUCCGACGAUCUUCCGGUGAACUUUCGACGAUCUCUCGACAAUGUUCCAAUAGACUUCCGGCAAGCUCCAAGACUUUACGAUGAUCUUCUUAGCGAAUUUCGAUGAGCUUCUUUGGCAAGAUCCUGAACUUCUCGGUCAAUUCUGACAGAACUUUCGACGAACUAUCGAACUCUCAACAAAAUCUCAAUCUUGACUUUAGCACUUCGUUUUGCUUCAUGCUUUAAUUGCUAUCGUAGUUAAUCCUACACACUUUUCUCAACAUAUAAAUUUGAUCAAAUAAUUUACUAAUUGAUUUCAAAAUCUGAGAUUCAACAUAACUAAGUCCUUGAAGUGAGGCAUCAUUGAAUACUAUAAAACCUUCUCCUUUAGAAGGAAUCAUUAGGAUAUGAGUACUUGUUAAUUUCUCUUUCAAUUUCUAAAAAUUUCAUUUAUACUUAUCAUCCAAGAUGAACUUUAUAUUCUUUUGUAUUAACUUGGUUAAAGGUGUUGUUAUUUUUGAAAAGUCUUAUAUAAAUCUUCUAUAAUAUCUAGCCAAAUCCAAGAAGCUUUUAAUAUCUAAAACAUUAGAAGGUCGCUUCUAAUUCAUCACAACUUUAAUCUUUUGGGGGUCAACGAAUACACCAGUUCCCAGAAUUAUAUGGUCGAGAAACAUAACUUCAUUAAGCAAGAAAUUGCACUUGCUCAAUUUAACAUAUAGUUUCUCUUGUCUUAGGAUUUAUAAAAUUAUCUUGAGAUGAUGUUUAUGUUCCACCAUACUUUUAGAGUAGAUCAAAAUGUCAUAAAUAAACAUAAAUAUAAAUUUAUCAAGAUAAAAUAGAAUACUCAAUUUAUGAGAUCCAUGAAGACAGCUAGUGAUUCAUGAAUCUGAAAGGGAUUACUAAGAAUUUGUAAUAACUAUAUCUUAUUUUGAAAAUAAUUUUAUGUAUAUCUCCUACUCUUAUCUUUGGUUGAUGAUACUCGAAACUCAAAUCAAUUUUUUUAUGAUUACUUGGUUAAGUUGUCUAUAAUCAAUGUAUAGUAAUAUGGAUCUAUCUUUCUUCUUUAUAAAUAGAGGCACCCUAAAGUGAUAUAGUGCGUUGAAUAAGACUCUUGUCCAAAAUCUCAUGGAUCUAUUUCUUUUAACUCCUUAACUCAAUUGAUGUUAUUCUAUAAGAGGGUUUAGAAAAAUGCAAUGUCAAGUUGAAGAUCAAUUAUAAAUUAAAUUUGCUUGUCAAGUGGUAGUCCAAGUAAAUAUUUAGAAAAAUAUUUAAAAAAACUCAUAUAAUAGAGAUAUCCUUUAAUAUUAGACUCUUAACCCAAGAUAGUAUUAAAAUCUUGAAAUUCUAGUUUGAUAAGAUAUACUAGCAAAUCAUGACUUUCAAUAAUAACAACAUAGUUUCUAAAUAUCUAAUCAGUUAUUAGAGAGUUUCUAACUAGUGUUGCUACCAUUAGCGCAUUAUUCAUUGUCUUUGGAUUCUUAUGUAGUCUUAUAAUAAAAUAAGGUGAUAUCAAAAAAUAUGUAGAACUAGAAUAUAUAAGCAUACAAGCAAGCAUACCAUAGAAUGUGAUUAUACCUUGAACGAUAGAUCCCAAGGCUUCAACAUUUUGAUGGGUGAAAGCAUAAAUCCUUGUUUGGCAUUCCCCUCUAGGUCAUAGCUAUUAUUGUCUAUAUAUUUGGUGUGGAGCUUGGUGUUGAUGCUGUUUUUGUGGGCAGUUCUUUAACAUAUACUUUGGUUGUUAACAAAAAAAAUAUUCACGUUGUCCCAUAGGGCAUGAGGCAAAAACAUGAUCAGUGUUUCUAUAGAAAUAAUACCUUAUAAUUACUUAAUUACUAGAAACUCUUGUCUGUUAGUGUUUGGACUAUCUACUCUUAUCUUUCUUUGAGAGUCCAGAAUAUGAUCCUUCAUACGGAGAUGGUGCAACACUAAAAUCACUUUCGAUCCUUCACUUAUUGUAAUUCAUUAUCUAAUUUUUCCUCCACCAAUCGAUUGAGCACUUUAGCAUAUGUUGAUAAAAUCAGUAUAAUAAUGAACUUUCUAAUUAAUGAAUGAAGUUCCCUCUGAAAAUAAAGAGUCCAUUAAUGUUCAUUCAAGGUAAUAUAUAUUGAGAAUUAGGCCAGCUCAGUGAAAUAAUGAUCAUAUUUCAUUAUAGUCCUACUUCCCUAAUUAAUACUAAGAAAAUCUUAUUACUUCUCAAAAGAAUUGAAUAUGGGAAGAACCCCUUAUAGAAUACAUUUUUAAAUUGCUCCCAAAUCACCACAUUUGCCUCUCGCCUCCAUCAUCCUCCUUUUCGAGAUCCAUCAAAUGUUUGUCUUCCCUUUCAAAAUAAAAAAAAGUAAAAGGUACAUUUUGAUUUUCUCUACAUUCGAUAACUUCAAAUAUUUUUCUCACUCGACGGAUCCAAACGUUCAACAAAGAUUGAAUCUAGUUUGCCCUUAAAAACAGGUGGUCCCAAUCUUUUAAAGUGAUUCAAAAUAUUAUUUUCACUCUAUGGAGCUCCAUUUCGCUCCUCCUGAUGCUAAAAUAACUUUAAAUAGCAUUGAGAACUCCGUGUAUAUCAUUUGGAGCAUUAGCAAGUGUUGGAGUACAAGGUGUAUUCUAUGAUAUCAGGAAGCUAGCACAUAAUCAUUGACAAGUAUAUGUAAAGAUUGAAUUUGCUCUAUUACUUAGGUGAAAGACAAUCAUUGACCAAAAUCAAUCAAAUGACCCAAACACUUAUAGGCCCUAAACCAUACUUUAAAAUCAUAAAAAGAUAUCACUAUCCUAGAUUUUUUUAUAAUCAUAAUAUCUUUCCAUAAGUACAGAGCCAAAUAAAUAAAUAUUACUUUAUUAAUAUAUAUAAUUUAUAAAUAUGUAUUAUAAUUUAUUUAUUCAUCAAAUUAAAAGUCAAAAGUAGCCAUAGACUUGAAAGGUAUAUCUAACGACAAAGAAAGAUAUGCUCUCUAUUAGAACCUGGAAUAGUGUUAUUGAGAGACUACUUUAAAAAUCAAAAAUAAAAAUUUUUAGCAAUCAGUAGGAACCCAUAUAAGUCAAAUAUGAAAUGAAUAUAUGACUAAACAUUAAUUAUCCCACUAACGUAUAUCAAAUACCCGAAUGAGCUAUCAAAUACUCGAAUGAGCAUCCUCCCCAAAACAAUGAAUUGAGAGGUUUUAUAUUACAAAAUAAGUUUAUAUUCUCUCAAUAACCGAUGGAUUCUCUCAAUAACUGAUGGAGUAGUGUAUCUUAUCGACCAAAGUGGUAACAUAUUCCUCUCAACAACGGAUGGAGGAAAUUAUCAUACAUGCCCUUGGUAGGGAAACAAUAUUAUCUCAUAUUGAUCAUGUCUAUAUUAGAAUAAAAUAAUAUAUUAAAAUAUUUUUUUCAAGCAUCUUUAAUAUCAAAUAAUAUAAAUUUUAAAAUUACAUAUGGCAUGAAGAGUUUUUAUAUGUUUUAAUCAUAAAAUAAAAUUUUAAACCUAUAUAAAAGAAUAUUUUAGAAAACUCAUGUAUUAUGUUUUAAUCUAACAAUAAAAUUUUGAUAUUUAAAGGAAUAAAAAAUAUUUUAGAAUUUUAUAUAAUAUAUUUUAAUCUAAAAAUAAAAUUUUAAAUAUUUAAAAGAACAAAAAAAUUAUUUUUCAAGAAAGUUAAGGAACCUUCUUCCCCUAAGCAAUAUGUAACUCCUUAUUUGUUGUGUUGUUAGGCUUAGCUUGACGUGGAACGAAGAGAAGAAUCCGAAUGUGAGUCCUCUAUAUAAAGAUUUUUUAUUUUUCUAUUUAUUAAUAUUUAUUUUUUAUUUAAUUUAUUAACAAAAAUAAUAUUAUUCUACUUCAAAUAUUGAAUAGUUAUUUUCUAAAUUUUAUUAAAAAAUCAUGUGUAAAUUGGAGAUUUGACUACGUGUUAAUAUUUUCCAACUAAUGGCACUAAAAAGGGUUGAAUUAGUGUAAAUAUAUUUUAAAACUCAUGCAAACUAAUUUAAGCAAAAAAAAUAAAUAAAUAAACCACACAAGCAAGAAGAACGAGACAAAGAUUUUUAUAAUUGCUAAUACCAUGGGAUUAGCAAUUAUAAACUUCUUAAAUAUGCUACUAGCUAUGGUGGCUCACACAUGACAUUUAGCAAAUAAAGUCUGAUCACAUCAUCCAUCUUAGCUACAAGAUUAAUUAAGUUAUUUACAUUGUGUUCAUCUUAUCUCUCUUUUCUUUAUUUGAUUUGUAGUGGCAACGCUUUCUUUUCUGAGUCUUCAAGACACAACCCAACUCAAAAAAUAUGUUACGUAGUUAUUAUCAUCAUAGUCAAUUAGAAAGAUAUGAAAUCACCAAAUACCUACCUUAUCCUCAAGAAUAUACUACCAAAUUAAGUCCAUGCAAUUCUAUUUUUUUUUCUUUUUGUAUUCGACGAGGAACUGCUAAUUAGUUACUUCUCCUUAUAAACCUUCAUACUAUAAGAAAUGCAAUCAAUUAUGGUCAUAGAAAAGGAGCAUGAAACACAAAAAUGCACCACAAAUCAGAGCUGCACCACUAUUCAAUCAAUUAUAAAUCAAACUCUGGUUACAAAUCAAAUUUUAAAUGUUUCAAAUAUCACAAAUAUAAACUUGAUCAUUUUGAAUAUCAUAUAAAUUUAAAAUAUCAUAAAAAAGAUCUAAGUUUACAAAAACAAAAAUCCAAUGGUGUGUCAUCUCAAAAAAAAGAAUUAUGAAUUUCAAACACAAAUUAUAUUGAUACACAAUCAAACCAAAGUGAAACUUACUUAGGUUAAUAAGUCGUCAAAUUUUUUAAUAGCCAAUUUGAUGGGCACUUUUAUUUUAUUUUAUGUUAAUAUAAGCUUCUACUCAUCCUCACAAAAUUAAUAUACAAAGGAAUUGUUUCAUGUCGUUUUAUAUCUUUAUCGUUCAUGGCCUUUUCAUCAAUAAUUAAGAUUGAUCUUUCAUUUUUCGUUACCUUAUUAUUUCUUCUUCUUCUCUGCCUCUUUCAUGGCAUCCUUUAUUUUCUUUUCCUUCUUCCUUCGUAUCCAUAAGGAGAAAUAAUAUUUUAUAAAUGAACACAUAUUCUUCUAAUUCACUCGACUCGACAAAUCAAUUGGAUCGAACAAAACCGAGUCUGACUUAGCUGGUGGAUUAAGUCCUAUUUUACAUCGAAUUAGGAGAUCCAAUCUAAAUCGUAGAAUUAGUGGCAUCUUUCUAAGAUUCAUGCUUUCUUGGGCAAGUACUGUUUUUAAUUACAUCUACAACUCUCCGAGGGAAGUGCGUGCCAGUGGUAAACAGUUGAAACCGUUGUGUUUUAACUAUAUGCCUAUGAAAUCCAUAUUUUGUGAAUCUAAUUUAUGGUAAAUAUGAUUUAUAUUAUCAACACUUUUUUGCUAGCAUGAUACUUUCUUAUGUAAGAUUUGAAAAUAAAUUAUUUUAUUUUUUUAUCAAUAUAAUUGCAUCUAAAGGCUCAGUAUAGAUUUUAUUUGAAUGAUCAAUAAUUUCAUAAGCUUAAAUUUAUGCAUGAAUUCGAGUAAUAAAAAUUUUAAGAUAACAUCAUAACAUUGUUGUGGGUUCGGAUCUUAUAUCUAUAUAUUCAUCUCUCUUUGAUCGUUAUCUAAUUAAAAUUUAUGUAAUAUUAUAUUCAUCAUUUUAUUUGGCUUGUGUUAUACAUUUAAUCUCAAUUUUCUGCCUCCGGUCUGAUUUCCAUUUUACUGUAUAUAGGAUAAAAAAAUUAGAGUAAAAGUUAGCAAACAGGUCAACACUGGUAGGCUAAACUAUGUCGGUUCAUUAUUAUACUUAUCUUGCAUUUUUGCCGUCCUUUUCUUUCUUUUGUCUUCAACAUGCAAUCAAUCAAUUCACGUGAUUCUGCCCUUUACUCCCGUCUCUCUCUCUCUCUCUAUCCUUUCUUUACUUCAAUCACCAACCACAAGCGAGUGAGAUGAGAUCUCCAUCUACCAUACAUAAAAGCUGACACCUUACACCCCCUUCGCUUUCCACGCUUGGCUUCUCUUCUCUUCUCUGCUCGAGCCACAGUCGCCAUUCCCCGUUCUAAAGAUGACCUCCGUGUCAACACUUAGUAGUAGCAGCAGAGGAAGAAACAAACUCCUCCUCUCAUGCAUCCUCUUCGCUUCACUCUUCUUGCUGCUACUAGCGUUGCCCACUGUGCCGAAACCAGUGGCUCACCACCACCAGCUCCAUGUACAUUCUCGCCUCCAAGCCACCGCCGCCGCAGACCACUGCGACGGCACCCUGUACCCGGACCUCUGCGUCUCCACCCUCUCUACCAUCCCGGACUUGCAUGCCAAGUCCCUCCCCGAGGUCAUCUGCGCCUCCGUCAACACCACCGCCGCCGCUGUCCGUAACGCCGCCAAGAACUGUACCAACUUCCUCCACCGCCGCGGCUACCUAGACCCCCGCCAGCGCCUCGCCGUCACCGACUGCCUCGACCUCUUCUCGCAGACCCUUGACGAGCUGGGCGCCGCCUCCGCGGCCCUUGCCGCCGACCCCGCCGCCCACGUCGACGACGUCCAGACGGUACUCUCCGCCGCCAUCACUAACCAGUACACCUGCCUCGACGGCUUCGCCUACGUGGGACGCGGUGGUGGCUAUCGCCCUGCCAUCGAGCGGCGGCUCUACCACGUGUCCCACCUCGUCAGCAACUCCCUCGCUAUGGUAAAGAGGAUCCGGCGGCGGCGGGCGUCGCGGCCCCGGCGCGGGGCGCUGGAGGGGUACGGGGAGGUGUCGGAGGGGUUCCCGGCUUGGGUGUCUGCGAAGGACCGGAAGCUGCUGCAGGCACCGACCAACGCCACGAUCCCGGACCUGGAAGUGGCCAAGGACGGGAGCGGCAACUUCACGACGAUAAGCGACGCGGUGGCGGCCGCGCCGAAUAACACGGACACGAGGUUCGUGAUCUACGUGAAGGCGGGGGCGUACUUCGAGAACGUGGAGGUGGGGAAGAGCAAGACGAACCUGCUGUUGAUCGGCGACGGCAUCGGAAAGACGGUGGUGAAGGCUAGCAGGAGUGUGGUGGACGGAUGGACCACCUUCAGGUCUGCCACAGUCGGUAAGCCACCUUCCUUCAUCUUCUUCUCUUCUCCUUCCUCCAUGAUUUCUUACAGUUCUAUCGUAUAAGCCACCUUCCUUCAUCAUCAUCUUCUUCUUCUCCUCUUCUCC
rnacentral:lncRNA from 1 species